rnacentral:rRNA from 1 species
UACCAGCACCCCGAGUGGUCGGGACGAUUAUUGGGCCUAAAGCAUCCGUAGCCGGUCCUACAAGUCUUCCGUUAAAUCCAGCUGCUCAACAGAUGGGUUGCGGAAGAUACUAUAGGGCUAGGAGGCGGGAGAGGCAAGCGGUACUCAGUGGGUAGGGGUAAAAUCCUCUGAUCCAUUGAAGACCACCAGUGGCGAAGGCGGCUUGCCAGAACGCGCUCGACGGUGAGGGAUGAAAGCUGGGGGAGCAAACCGG